AUUGAACGCUGGCGGCAGGCCUAACACAUGCAAGUCGAACGAGUGGCGGACGGGUGAGUAAUGUCUGGGAAACUGCCUGAUGGAGGGGGAUAACUACUGGAAACGGUAGCUAAUACCGCAUACCAUCAGAUGUGCCCAGAUGGGAUUAGCUUGUUGGUGGGGUAACGGCUCACCAAGGCGACGAUCCCUAGCUGGUCUGAGAGGAUGACCGGCCACACUGGAACUGAUACCCGGUCCAGACUCCUACGGGAGGCAGAGGUGGGGAAUAUUGCAGAAUGGGCGCAAGCCUGAUGCAGCUAGGCCGCGUGUAUGAGGAAGGCCUGCGGGUUGUAAAGUACUUUCAGCGGGGAGGCGUUACCCGCAGAAGAAGCACCGUCUAACUCCGUGCCAGCCGCCGCGGUAAUUC
rnacentral:rRNA from 1 species